CAGCGGCCAUUUUCGGUUUGACUUGCAUUGCGCGUAGAGGACGCUCUCUAAGAAACAUCGCAAUUUAUACAGAGGAUAACCUGAAGGAAAUGUCUUGGUAUCCAACACCCGAGCCGCGGUUUAGAGAAGAAGUGUCUCUUCGAAAAAGAUUUCAUCCCAACAACUAUGUCGAUGUUGUUUUGACUUACGAUCUAGAUAGAGGAGCUUUUGGCGCAAAGCAUGGAUGGUUCACUGAGUCGACAAGAACUUGGCAGGGAUACACAAGAGUAACAGUAACAUCCAACAACUCAGGAUAUAGUUAUGUCGUGACCCGACGUGGGCGAGAAGCCUAUAGCACUGACGAGGAAAACUGGAUGAGCGUGAAAACAGUUUCCUAUUAGCUGUGAAUAUUCAACACCAUUGAUACAGCAAGUUCAGAAAUCACUGAAAAUAACCGUUUCGAGUGUAAAGGAAGGAAAUAGAGUUCACACUUUGAUGUCAAUAAAACUUUGCCUGCAUCAUUUCACAAGAUUAGCUAGUACUGACACCUAGAAACACAACGCGCGUGAAAGUUGUUGCUUAUUGUUAAUACCAUUAUUUCUAAUAAAAGAAAUGCACCUUUUUACGACCAGUUAUUGACGAACCACCCAAAUAAAAUCUUAUCCAUCUUACUGUUGUACUCAAAGUUCAAUUAUUCAUAUUUCUAAGUCAGUGAAUGUUGCCCUAGAGGUUUUUUCAACUCCUUGAGUGAUACAAUGAAAAACAUGGUUACAAGGGAGAAAAAAAUUUCAAGAAACAUUUAUUUGGUGCUAGUUGGGUGCAAUUUAAAAGCAUAACAUUGCUUGCUACGUUUCAAUUAAAAUCCGUUCGUAUCCUCAUAUAUAAACUCCUACAGUAACCGCUGUAUCCUAGUGACGCCGUGUUCACUGGUAUUAUGGGAAUCGUGAUAUCAUGAAUAAAUUCUGCACCAGAAAGGGCUUACUCUUAUCGUUGUCGUCACAACUUAACUUAGCAGCAAACAAGCUAACAUCCCUUUCUAGAUACACACUUUUUGCUUUAGUCAUGAGCGGGUUUGAAACUGAUGAUUAUGUUUCUAAUACGUGCGAAAUUGUCAAGGUCCUAAAUAGUUUUGGUGAAUCUGUAGCCACGAUCUUCCGCAAGCCAAAUGGAGAAUUUGAAGUGCAAGGGGCUUGUUUGGUUCGCAACGAACUUAAGCAGAGAUCAGUCUGGUACACUAAUCUUCACCGCUAUAGAGAACUACGAAUCGUGACUUCUUCGGGAGGCGUUUUGGUUAUCGAGCGCCAUGGCUCAAAUGAUUACAGGAUGAGUACAUCAGGAUAUCAGUUAACUGAAGUAAAGACGGUGAGCGUUUGAGCAAGAGUUAGGAAUGAAGAGGAUACGAUUCCUGAAUGUAGAAAAUCGCACUGUAAUGACUUUGUUAGUCGAAUAAACAUGAUCACUUAA